UACGAGUGCCCCGAGCGUUUAUCCGGAAUUAUUGGGCGUAAAGGGUGUGUAGGCGGUCAUAUUAGUCUUUUGUUAAAUUCUUCGGCUUAACCGGGGGCAUGCAAAGGAAACGGUACGACUAGAGGACGCGAGAGGUGAAUGGAACUCAUGGAGUAGGGGUGAAAUCCGUUGAUAUCAUGGGGAACACCAAAUGCGAAGGCAAUUCACUGGCGCACUCCUGACGCUGAAACACGAAAGCGUAGGUAGCGAAUGGGG
rnacentral:rRNA from 1 species